GACGAACGCUGGCGGCGUGCUUAACACAUGCAAGUCGAACGAGAGCGUAAAGAAAGCUUGCUUUUUCUACAAUCUAGUGGCAAACGGGUGAGUAACGCGUAAACAACCUGCCCUACGGAUGGGGACAACAGCUGGAAACGGCUGCUAAUACCGAAUACGUUCCGAAAGUCGCAUGACUAUCGGAAGAAAGGAUGGCCUCUAUUUAUAAGCUAUCGCCGGAGGAGGGGUUUGCGUCUGAUUAGCUAGUUGGAGGGGUAACGGCCCACCAAGGCGACGAUCAGUAGCCGGUCUGCGAGGAUGAACGGCCACAUUGGAACUGAGACACGGUCCAGACUCCUACGGGAGGCAGCAGUGGGGAAUCUUCCGCAAUGGGCGAAAGCCUGACGGAGCAACGCCGCGUGAGUGAAGACGGCCUUCGGGUUGUAAAGCUCUGUUAUACGGGACGAAUAAUCUUGUGGUUAAUACCCAUGAGAAGUGACGGUACCGUAAGAGAAAGCCACGGCUAACUACGUG
rnacentral:rRNA from 1 species